CUCAUGUAUGUAUAUGCAAGCAUGACUUACAAGCUAGUAUUAGGGAAUAGUGUGGGCUAAUAUUAUCUAUUUAAGGUCUGGACAUAACUAGGCUAAAUCCGGGACAUUAAUCAUAGCCCAACCCAACUUUAAAUUCAGCCCAAUUAAAUAAAAGAAAAGAAAAGAAGGAAAAAAAGAAAAUCAAUCAUCACAGUCACCGCCCUUGAAAUUGUAAAUACUCUCAUUCCCUGUUUGGUUCGCGAGAAAACAGAGAGAAAAACAUUAACCCAGAAGGUAAAAUCUCUCAAUUUGCGGUCUUGUUCGUAUCUCUGUGCCCAUAGCCAAUCCUGAGGCCAACGAAAGAUACAAUUUUACCCGAGGAAAGAUGACCCUUGGCUAGGUGCUUUUAACUUUAGGGACUUGAGAACUUCCAUCAACAACUCUUUUGCUACAAGAGCAGUGAAACAGUGUAGUUCCAAGAUGAUUAGCUCUCAACAAGAAAAGAUGUGUUCUUCUUAAUUUGAGUUUUUAUUGUAACAUUAUCUUUGAAAUACACCUUUACGGUUUAAACCAAAACUUGAUGGGAUUAGUACUGUAUCAGGGCACAAGACAAAAAAUUUUCCUAUUUUAUUUAUAAAUGACUCUUGCUGCUGUAUGACAUUUGCUUCCCCCUUAAAAAAAAAAAUGUAAAAACUAAGUCAGCUCGGCUUCAUGGAGCAAAAUGUUUGCCUACAUUGGGGAUAACGGCUUGUGGUGUGCCCUCCUGCAUUAAAAAAGAUGCUCGUGUUUUCCACGAAGAAGGGGGGGGCCCCAGCGAGAUAGCGGGUGAGCGUGAGCUAUUUCCAAAAAAAGGAAGAGGGGUGAUCCUUUUUCUUCAAUGAAAAAAGAACAAACAAUUCUUUUCGAAGUAUUAGAUUGCGGCAGAGGACUACGAAGAAGGAAGGAACUUACUAAGAGUGGAAGUAGAGGGUCAAUGCAUGACGAAUGAAAUGCAUAUUGGAUCUGAUCUAGUGAAAGUUUUCAAGUCAUUCGGCACUUUAGUGGAAAAACGAGGUCACUUAAGAUUGCUGAAGCCGGACCGCUAGGGCUUGGUGUGCAAUUUUUUACUAUUAAUAAAAGAAGAUGUAUCUUGCAUUCUAGCCGAAUGCAGUAUGCUUCUGAUACAUGUCAUUCUGCUUUGUAUUAGGGAGGGUUUGUUUUUAUUUUGAGGUGAGUUCCAACCAAUUCCUGGUUCUUAGGGCUCUCUGUGCACAGUGCCACGGCUCAGGCCAACAAAAGCGAUGCUUUUAAAGAAGAUGGACAGUAAAAAAACAUUCCUAAGUAUGCACCAGCACAAUUUUACAUUGAUAAUGUUCUACCCCAAAUCAAGGAGAAGAAGAUAAUGGCACUUAAACCUUUUGUCAAUCGGCUUGGGUAUGACAAUGUUCCUCAAGAAAUCAGCAGGCUAAGGUGCAGGGUGAAUUAUCAUGCUCUGAAAUUUCUUCCUGAGAUUGAGCAGAUGGCUGAUUCACUGGCAUCAAGGAUGAGAAACCGUAGAGGCAGCUCAAAUCCUUUCAUGUAUGUGAAAUUGGUUGUGAAGGUUUCUGAACAAUAUUCUGGGUCUUGCUAGUAGCCAACCGUACUAACUAGGAAUAACUAGACGUUAUAAGGUGACCUGGAAUGAUGACACUUUGAUUGGCUUCUGGGAGAGAUGUUAAUAGAAACAAUUUACCAAACAAUUCUGUGAUCGGGGUGUGCAAGUUGUCGUCUGAUCUUUUUCCGGGGAAGGACUUAUCGGCCACAUCACUUUCCGUGACGGUCGGGUUAAUGAAUGUGAUAGGGUGUUGGUUUGGAGCUAUGCCAAGUUGCCAUGGUGAUGGUGGGUUAGCUGGGCAGUACAAGUUUGGUGGUAGGAGUGGUGGGUGUGUGGUACUUCUUGGCACAGCUAAAUUGAUGUUGGGUUUGGUAUUAGGGACUUCUUUGGGGAAGAUUUUGGACCAAUUUCCUGUUGGGAUACUUGGAGUUUUGCUCUUGUUUGCGGGGAUUGAGCUAGCUAUGGCUUCAAGGGACAUGAAUUCCAAGGAGGAAUCUUUUGUGAUGCUUAUUUGCACAGCGGUUUCACUUGUGGGUUCAAGUGCAGCGCAGGGUUUUGUGUCUGGGAUGAUUGUGCAUGUGCUUCUUAGGCUAAGAAAUUUGAGUAAGAUCAACCCUGUUGUUCCAUAGUAUAUUGUGUGCCCACUUCUCAUCUUGUGGUGAUUUGAUAAUUUCUAAUGUAUCAUUUGAAAUCGUGUAGAUUUUAAGUUUAGUUCAACAGAUGUCUUUUACUAAUGAAAAGGCACAGACAAUCCAAAGCAGCUUGUUAAUUCAGCUCUUGAGCUUUCUUGCAUUUUUCCUCCAGAUUCGUCAUCUCGAGAUUGUACUAGUCCAAGUUCUACAAAAAGCAACUUGUUCAGAAAUAA